GAGUUUGAUCGUGGCUCAGAUUGAACGCUGGCGGCAUGCCUUACACAUGCAAGUCGAGCGGCAGCGCGGGGGCAACCCUGGCGGCGAGCGGCGAACGGGUGAGUAAUACAUCGGAACGUGUCCAGUAGUGGGGGAUAACCUGUCGAAAGAUAGGCUAAUACCGCAUACGAUCUACGGAUGAAAGCGGGGGACCGCAAGGCCUCGCGCUAUUGGAGCGGCCGAUGUCGGAUUAGCUAGUUGGCGGGGUAAAAGCCCACCAAGGCGACGAUCCGUAGCUGGUCUGAGAGGACGACCAGCCACACUGGAACUGAGACACGGUCCAGACUCCUACGGGAGGCAGCAGUGGGGAAUUUUGGACAAUGGGGGCAACCCUGAUCCAGCCAUGCCGCGUGAGUGAAGAAGGCCUUCGGUUGUAAGACUC
rnacentral:rRNA from 1 species